AAGUACAGAGGGUUACCUAUUCAGCCCUUGGGGAGCUUUGAGCAACACUCAUAACAGUGUACUUUUGACAUAGGACCUCUGAGUGAGUGCAAAAAGCAAGGAGAUAGGUGUGGAGAGUAAGAUCUGUUCAGAAACUUGGAAUGAUCUAGUGUGGCUGGAUGGGACCAUGUCUGUGAGGAAGUUCCAGAAGGGACUGUAGAGGUGUGCUGGGGCCAGAUCAUGAAGGGCCUUGUGCAACAUUAAGGAGGUGAAACUUUCACCUGAAAGUGAUGGUGAAGCACCGAUGGAUUUUUAGGUAACUGACCAGAUUGUGUUUUAGAAAAGCUAUUCUGGUAGUUAUUCGUAUGAAAGAUGGAAUUUCGGGGAGGAGUUGGUGAGAUUGAAGAAGAUAAACAAACUGAAAGUCUUCUAUAAUAAUAAGGAAAAUAUUUUGGGAGAAAUCCUGAUGAGUUAAGGCCCCCUCUAUACUACCCAUUUUUACAUUUCAUUUAAAAAUUAUAUGAAAAUAUGACAUGAACUGUUAGUUAUGGAGGAUAUAAAGUUGGAUGUUGCUUGUAUUAACAAGAAAAACUAUGCACCUCAUUCUGUUCUCCAAGGGAGCAUAAAACAAGGAGAGGAAGUGAGAAGAAAGAAACUGAAAGAGUAUAUGCUGCUUAAAGAAGCCACACUCCCUUGCCUUCAGUCUCAUUUAGCUUCCACCUAGCCUAGGGGAUAAAACUGCUGCUGUGGAUACCCAAGAGACCCUGGCUAGGGUUAUAAUAUUCAAACCAAAUACAGGCAGCAGAUACUUUAACUCCAGGUCAGGAUUCUUUAACAACUGACAUCUUAAGGCAACAUUGGUUCUCUGAGAAAGUGAAAGUUUUGCUGGCUGGAUCAGGAAAAGGAAGUGAUGCCUGGAAAUGGAGUAGCCAUCUAAGGGAUGAUAUCAAAAGCCACAUGCUGAGCAUUGUGAAGGGAAGAGGUUGAAGGAGCAGCAAGCAGUUGCACUAGUCCUGGACUUGUGAGUUACGGAUUUCUUGUGACGUGAGAAAAAUAAACCCCUUUUUGGUCAAACCCUGUUGGCCAGCUUUUUAUUACAGGAAGGCAAACUGAAUCCUCACUGGCUCAAGUGACUUGCUCACAGCCAUCAAACUAGUGAUGACAGCCAGGAUUAAGACUUGGAUCUGUUUCACUUCAAAGGCCAUGCUCUUUCCAGGCUAUUGGGCAACUUCAAGGUUUGUUACUCUUUCUAUGUACUUCUCAUUUUAGCUUCCUGGAGGCUGGGAAAGUGUUCAGGAACUCACAGACUCUUAC
rnacentral:lncRNA from 1 species